UAUUACUUUUUUGACGAAACAUCCAGUUUGAUGUUCAUAGGUGUGGCGAGGACAAAUCAUCGCUAUAUAAAGGAAUAUCCAUUGGCGAUGUCAGUUAUAUCUCAGAAGAUAUACUAUCUUGAUAUUUCAUCAUGAACAAGCUGGUUUUCCUCGUUGUUGUUCUGGCCAUGGUUGCCGUUGCUUCUGCUCAGUUGAUCACCAGCGGAGGAGUUAAGGACUGGGCUGGAAAUUACUACGAUUUCACUACCGGCCAAGUGGCCAGCUCUGCUACUGGACGAGUCUACAACACUGGUGUUCUUCCCAUUCCAUAUGCCGCACAUCAUGCAGUGCUUCUCUAAAGAUGAAGAUGGCAACUUCCAUUAAAAAAUUCUUCAAACACCUGGAUGUUCGAAAAAGUCAAAAAUAGUUUCAACCUUACAGUCACAGUAAUUUCAGUGUGUUCUUAUGAUUAGAUAAAUCUGAUGCAUUUUUUUAAAACACUGCAAAACAUUGCUGUAAAAUUUUAAAAAAAUAAACUUUUUUAGAAAGCA